rnacentral:rRNA from 1 species
UACGGGGGGAGCAAACGUUGUUCGGAAUUACUGGGCGUAAAGGGCGCGUAGGUGGCCUGUUAAGUCGAACGUGAAAUCCCCGGGCUCAACCCGGGAACUGCGUCCGAGACUGGCAGGCUCGAAUCCGGGAGAGGGAUGUGGAAUUCCAGGUGUAGCGGUGAAAUGCGUAGAUAUCUGGAGGAACACCGGUGGCGAAGGCGGCAUCCUGGACCGGUAUUGACGCUGAGGCGCGAAAGCCAGGGGAGCAAACGGG